rnacentral:rRNA from 1 species
CUUGGUCAUUUAGAGGAAGUAAAAGUCGUAACAAGGUUUCCGUAGGUGAACCUGCGGAAGGAUCAUUAACAAAUUCAAAACACAUGUUUCCCUCUGGGAGAAGUGAGAACUAAUCCUGGAGGUGUUAACACAACACACAUACAUUUGAUUGACAACACUCCAAUUGAUACCAAACAAGGUUAAUUGUAGACAACUUUUAACAAUGGAUCUCUUGGCUCUUGCAACGAUGAAGAACGCAGCGAACUGCGAAACGUAAUGUGACCUGCACUCUUCGUGAAUCAUCCAAUCUUUGAACGCAAUUUGCACCUCGUGACCCAUGUCACCUGGUAUACUUGUUUGAGCACCCAAAACAUGCUCACUCCCUCUCGGGGCGAAGUGGAUCUGAGAGUUCGGUGGUCCAAUAUUGGGCUGUCGUCUCUUUAAAUGCAGGCCAACAACGGAACGUCUCAGCGGGCAUUUUUGCAGUGCAGUGAGGCAACUAUUGGGAUAACAUCCUAACAAUAGUGCCGCCUUUACAUGCAUGGCUUUGACAUUCCGGGUCAUCCUAUCGGCGUCAUUCACUAUCUAACGUGUAGUGGAUGCAGUGAUAACCAAAUUAAAUGGAUCUCAAAUCAAGUAGGGAUACCCGCUGAACUUAAGCAUAUCAGUAAGCGGAGGAAAAGAAACUAACAAGGAUUCCUUUAGUAACGGCGAGUGAACCGGGAAAAGCUCAAAUUUAAAAUCUGGUACCAUCUCGGUAUCCGAAUUGUAUUUGAUAGGGCCUUCUUUUAGGGAAGUCUAUGGCCAAAGUUCUCUGGAAAGGGACAACAAAGAGGGUGACAUUCCCGUCUGGGUCAUGGAUGGAACUAGUUAAAAGGAGGCCUCAAGAGUCGGAUUGUUUGGGAAUGCAGUCCAAAAUGGGUGGUACAUUUCAUCUAAAGCUAAAUAUUGGCAAGAGACCGAUAGCGAACAAGUACCGUGAGGGAAAGAUGAAAAGAACUUUGAAAAGAGAGUUAAAUAGUACGUGAAAUUGUUAAAAGGGAAACGAUUGAGACCAGUGUUGCUGAUUGUCCUUGGGCGCCCCCUUGUGGAGCGUGUAUGGGUAAUCAGCAAGUCGAUGCCCCUUUUGGUCCUUGGAUAAGACAGCAGGAAAGGUGGCGCUGCCCUCGGGUAGUUGCUUUAUAGUCUUGCUGGGAUACAGGGUGCCGGGAGGGGAACACCAGGCCGCAAGGUCACGUCGACGAAAUGGUCUUAAACGACCCGUCUUGAAACACGGACC